rnacentral:rRNA from 1 species
UACGUAGGUGGCAAGCGUUGUCCGGAUUUAUUGGGUUUAAAGGGUGCGUAGGCGGUCUAUUAAGUCAGUGCUGAAAUAUCCCGGCUUAACCGGGAGGGUGGCAUUGAUACUGAUGGACUUGAGUAAAGUUGAGGUAGGCGGAAUUGACGGUGUAGCGGUGAAAUGCGUAGAUAUCGAGAGGAACACCUGCGGCGAAGGCGGGUAGCUGGGCCGACACUGACGCUGAGGCGCGAAAGCCAGGGGAGCGAACGGG